rnacentral:rRNA from 1 species
UACGUAGGGUGCAAGCGUUAAUCGGAAUUACUGGGCGUAAAGCGUGCGCAGGCGGUUUUGUAAGUCUGUCGUGAAAUCCCCGGGCUCAACCUGGGAAUAGCGAUGGAGACUGCAAGGCUAGAGUUUGGCAGAGGGGGGUAGAAUUCCACGUGUAGCAGUGAAAUGCGUAGAGAUGUGGAGGAACACCGAUGGCGAAGGCAGCCCCCUGGGUCAAGACUGACGCUCAUGCACGAAAGCGUGGGGAGCAAACAGG